UUAAACAUGAGCGGACUCUGUGGAAGGAAACACUGUUGAAUAGAAAGGGAAGAGAACAGAGGAAGACAAAAGGAAUAACAUAGUUAGUGAAAGGUCUAGGGAGAAUGAGGUUAAACAGACAAGGCUAGCACGAGCACAGGUGCAUGGCAGAGCUCCGAGGCGGAUGUGGCUCAAUAAGCAACUGAGAUGGCGUCUGUCCAAAGUU
rnacentral:lncRNA from 10 species